CAUGGGUUGCUGCUGUUAUUGCAGUUAGUUGUUUCAUGGCACAUGAAAGCUGCUACCAUGUGUGAAUUUUCCAAGCAGGAGUUUAUGGGUGGGCUACAAGGGCUAGGGAUAGACUCUUUGGAGAAGUUCUGUGAAAAGAUACCAUUUAUGCGCAUGGAGCUGAAAGAUGAUCAAAAGUUCCGUGAGAUAUAUAACUUUGUGUUUGGCUCAUCAAACAGAGUUUAUGGCUCUAUUGAUAACAAUGCGAGGGGAUUAAUGUGGGAUGAGUUGGUUGGUGUUCAGCAAUAUUGGAAUGUCCCUUGGUGUUGUAUUGGGGAUUUCAAUAUUGUCCGCUUCCCUAGUGAACGUUUGGGUAAUUCUCGUCUCACUCCGGCAAUGGAACUUUUUUCGGAGUUCGUCGAGGACCUUAAUUUGAUUGAUUUGCCUUUGGAGGGAGGGAGCUAUACCUGGUCUAGAGGGUCAGUUCGGCCUUCGAUGUCUAGGAUAGACAGAGUUUUGGUGUCUCAGGAGUGGGAGGAGCAUUAUCCGGAUGUGAUCCAACGGAUUUUACCUCGCCCUGUUUUUGACCAUUUCCCUAUUCUAGUGGAGGUGGGGGGAAUGGCGAGGGGGAAAAGUCCGUUUAGGUUUGAGAAUAUGUGGCUCAAGACGGAAGGCUUUAUUGAUAGAGUUGAGUCUUGGUGGAAUCGUCAUUCUUUCUCUGGCACUCCUAGUUUUGUGUUUGCCAAAAAAUUGAAGGCCUUGAAAGAGGACAUCGUUCGGUGGAAUCGUUUGGAGUUUGGUCAUGUUGGUCGCAAAAAGUCUCAAUUAUUAGAGACUUUGAAUUCUUUAGAUGCCAAGGAAGGGGAGUUUGGUCUCUCUGAUGCAGAGUCUUGUGAGAGAGCGGUGGCGAGAUCUGAAGUGGAUGGGGUGAUCUAUGAGGAGGAAUCUGAGAUGGCUGCUCAGGUUGUGCAUUUUUAUAAAAAUUUGUACCAGGAGUCAGAAGAGUGGAGGCCCUUUGUGGAAGGUCUGGAGUUUGAUCAGAUAGAUGGGUCGGAGAGGGGUUGGCUUGAAAGGAGGUUCGAUAAGGAGGAGAUUCUUCUAGCUCUUAAUGAGUUGGGGGGAGAUAAAGCUCCAGGUCCAGAUGGUUUCUCUAUGGCUUUUUUCCACUAUUGCUGGAGAGUGGUGGAAAGAGAUGUUCUAGCAGUUUUUGAGGAGUUCUAUCAUCAUAGUAAGUUUGAGAAAUCUCUGAAUGCGACCUUUAUAGCUCUUAUUCCUAAGAAAAAUGAUGCUUCUAAUAUUCGAGACUUCAGACCUAUCAGCUUGGUGGGGAGCUUGUACAAGAUCUUGUCGAAGGUUUUGGCAAAUAGUCGUGUUAAGAGCAAGAUUCCGGGGGUUAUUUGUAAGCUUGACAUUGAGAAAGCUUACGAUCAUGUGAAUUGGGAGGCUCUUCUAGAUCUUUUGAAGAGAAUGGGCUUUGGGGAAAAAUGGAUGUUGAAAAGAGUAGAAGGUGCUGGCUUGAUCAAAGGUUUCCAAGCUGUUGGUAGUCGGGGUGUAGGGAAAUCUGUCUCGCAUCUUCUAUUUGCGGACGAUACUAUUCUAUUCUGUGAUGCGGAUGUGGAGCAGAUCCUUCAUGUGCGGAUGCUUCUCCUUUGUUUCCAGGCUGUGACAGGUUUGAAGGUUAAUGUCUCGAAGAGCGAGCUGGUUCCUAUAGGGGAGGUUAAUAAUGUUCAUGCCUUAGCAGAGAUUCUGGGUUGUCGAAUUGGGUCUUUGCCUAUGACCUAUCUUGGUAUGCCAUUGGGGGCUUCCCAUAAGUCCCCUUCUAUUUGGAAUCCUAUCUUGGAGAAAUUUCAGAGGAAAUUGGCCGGGUGGAAGAAGUUGUAUUUAUCUAAAGGUGGUAGGUUGACACUGCUUAAGAGUACGCUUUCUAGCCUUCCUACUUACUAUUUAUCCCUUUUUACCAUUCCCUCGCAUGUGGCUAAUAAGAUUGAGAAGAUUCAGAGGGACUUCUUGUGGGGGGAUUCGAAGAUUCAUUUGGUGGGGUGGGAUAAGGUGUGUGCUCCUAAGGUUAAUGGUGGUUUGGGUAUAAGGAAGUUAACUACGUUUAAUAAAGCGUUACUAGGAAAAUGGCUAUGGCGGUUUGGGGUUGAGGAGACUCGUCUUUGGCGGAGGGUUAUAGCUUUGAAGUUUGGGGAAGAGUGGGGGGGUUGGUCGUCCAAAUUAGGCAGGGGUGUUCAUGGGUGUGGUUUAUGGAGAAGUAUUCGGAAAGGUUGGGAGGUGUUUUCCAAACAUAUCCGAUUCGAGGUAGGGGUGGGGGAUAGGGUGAAGUUUUGGACGGAUCAAUGGUGUGGGGACUUACCUCUCCAUCUAUCCUUCUCGGUAGUGUAUGGGAUUGCUAUUAAUAAGGAGGCAUCUGUAGCCUCGUCUCUCGAGCGUUUGGGAACCGAGGCCCGGAGAAGUUGGAAGGUUCUCCUUCUUAGAAAUCCGAAUGAUUGGGAGUCGGGUGUUGUGGAUGAUUUCCUUCAUGCUCUGGGUUCUAAUUUACCUCUUUCUGAGCAAAGAGACCGUAUGAUUUGGAAACUGUCAAAGAAGGGGGAUUUUGAUGUUCGAUCGUUCUAUGAUAAGUUUCGAUGUCCCUUGCCUAUUAUCUUUCCUUGGAAAGGUGUUUGGAAGGUUAAGGCUCCUAUGCAUGUCUCCUUCUUUGUCUGGUCUGCUGCUUGGGAAAAGAUUCUUACAGGGGACAUUCUGCAGUGUAGAGGCUUCGAUUUUGUUGAUUGGUGCAUUUUGUGCCGUAGUAAUGGGGAGACGGCGAAUCACUUGCUUCUUCAUUGUGGAAAAGCUUUUCAGUUGUGGAGCCUGGUGUUUAGAUCUUUUGGGAUUUCUUGGGUCUUGCCAAGAUCGAUUGCAGAUACGCUUUUCGGCUGUUUCUUAGUAUUUCAGGGUCAGAAAUCUUUAGCAUUGGAUACAGCUAUUGGAAUGUGGCAAUUACUGUUUGCCGAAAAGCAGUGGCUAUUGGUUGAACACUGGAGCCAGUUCUUACAGGCUCGGCAUAACAAAGCAAAUAUCUAGGGACACGUGGUCUCAACUAUUGGAGUUUGCAAGGAUGGUGGACCCUGCAUUAACAAAUUAUGAUGCUGAAGGUGCAUGGCCCUAUCUUAUUGAUGAAUUUGUUGAAUACUUGAAUGAAAAUGGAAUCAUCCAAAAUGUCCAGUUGAAUGAUUUGAGCCAAAAAUGAUGACGAGGUGCUGAAGUAGUGAUUUGUCAUCUUUCUUUAGUGUGGUUAAAUUGCGAUGUUGUGUGAUAGUAUUGGUCUAUCACUAAAAGGUAAAAUCCCCCAAAAAGGAAUGAGAAGACAUGAGUUCCAAUUCAACCUUGUUUUCCACUGACGAUUCAUUUGCAACCUUUGUAGUUAAUGGGACUGCUGAUGUGGUAUGUGCAUUUUCCUGUAAAAUAAGUUAUGAGAAUUGAGAACCUACUAGUACUACUAAGAAUUAGUGUUGGAAUUUUCUUUUGUUUGGAUAAAAUAUUUCCUCUAUACGAUAGUAUGGACUUUGGUA